rnacentral:snRNA from 1 species
UCAGCUCUCUCAGCCUUUUGGCUUUGAUCAAGUGUAGUAACUGUUCUUGCUAGUUUAAUCGCUAGUACGUCUCUCUGGAGGCAUAUUACCGUUCAAUUUUUGGAAACAGUCUAGUGGCCGCUGAACUUCGUUCAUGUCGCUAGUCACGGUGUCGCCAGUACUGCACUGCCGCUGGCUGACGCGAACUUCA